rnacentral:lncRNA from 1 species
GUAUAGGUAUAGGUAUAGAUAUAGGCAUGCCACUGCUGAAAAUCGGGGCAGAAUAUUGAGCAGAGACGUGUCAGAGAGUACUCAUCUGGGGACAUGGAGCUAUCCUGGAAGGCAGAGAGGGCCCUCCAGCAUAUGUGGGAGCCUGCAGAGGGUUUGUAGGCUUAGGGGCUAACAGGAGUGAGUGUGGGAUGCAGGGUUGGGGGGAAGCAGGAACCCACUGCACAGCUGGUCAGGGGCACAGCUUCCUCAGGCUUUGGCGGUUGGUUCUCUAGAAACCAAAUCCACCUCCCCCCCAACCUCAGCUUCCUGCAGGUGCCAUGAUUAGGAGGGAGUAGAGAGGAAGUAGGGGCAGAAGGGGCUGUGUGCCUUUGUGUUUGUGUGCAUGGAGGUUGGGGAGAAGUCCAGGAGGCUGAGUUCCCACUUUAGGUCUAUCUCAUGGAGGGUGAUGGAGAUUCUCUGGGCACAGACUAAAAUUAGGGGUCAUUCAGACUGGUCCAGGGAGAAUCCUUCUUUGGCCCUAAUCAAGCUCUCUCUCUCUCCCUCCCUCUUUUUCUCUCCCUCCCUCCCUUCCUCCCUCUCUCUCUCCCUCCCUAUCUCUCUCUCUUUCUCUCUCUCUCCCUCCCUCUCUCUCUCUCCCUCCCUAUCUCUCUCUCCCUCCCUCUCUCUCUCUCCCUCCCUCUCUCUCUCUCUCUCUCUCUCUCUCUCUCUCUCUCUCUCUCUCUCUCUCUCACUCCUUUUAUUGCUGCUUUCAGUCACUGUGGAGAGCCUUCAGAUGCCUCAAUUUUUCCCCAUCACUCCCCACUUCUCCCAGCUCCAGGCCUCAGAUAGACAAAACCCCAGAAACAAAUAUCUCCAUCCUUCCCAAGCCCUGCCCUUUGUCAGCCCAUCCUUAAGGCCACGGGCUUCUGCCCAUCUCUGGCCACCUCUCUGGUUGUCUCCACACACUCUAGCUUAUUUCAGAUGCAGAUCCAGUAAAGGUCCGUUCCAAAAAGGAGGCCACCUACUCCAUCCCUGAAGGGCUCCAAAAGGAAGCUGGAUAACUACUUGGCCUACUGUCGAGGAGAUUCCUUUUGGUUCUGGGGUGGACUAGAUGGCUUCUUAAGUCCCUUCCAAACUCUGGGACUUGGAAAAUAUUUUCAUGACUCCCUGUUGCCUCAGAGAGAGCAUCUGAGCUCCUUAGCCUGGCAUUCAGGGCCCUCCCAAGCACUUACUUCACCUACUACAUUCCCACAAAACCAGAUAACUCAGUCCCUCUUAUAUACACGCCAUUUUGCUUCUUACAGUCUUUAAGCUUCUCAGAACCGGCAAAUGUCAGAAGCUAGAUUCCAACCUGGGCCACCUAACUCAAGGUCUAGUGGGGGAAGAUUUUGUCCAUAGCUGUUCAUCUGGGUGUAGUGAUGCCACACAUAUGCCCACACAGGGCUGGUCAAGCCCCAAAGGAACAGGAUAAGAAUGUCCACCACAGACAGGGAGCUUCUUGUCAUACCUAAGCACACAGUAGGUGCCCAGGACCAGAGGGAAUGUGACCGGAUACCCUCUUGUACUCAGCGGAUUCUCUCACCCAAGGGUGGGCAGGAGGUGACCUGGGCUCCUGCCCUUUAUUCCAUCAGGCCCAAACCUCCCUGGCUCCUCUCUGGUUUCCUGUCUGUGUUUGAUUGUAAUUGUGCCUCAGCCCCUUCCUGUCAGUCCCAUGAGAAAGGCCACUAUGGGGCAGGCGCAAGGGGGUGCCAGGGUCCUAGGUCAGGAGUGGAGGGAAGGGGACCAUCUGAGCUUCAGCCCCAGCUCCAGCCCCAGCCUGCUAGGCAAUUGUCCGGCUGAAAUAACAAGUGAGGAUCUGAAAAGAGAUCUCUUCUGUUUGUUUACUUCAUUUCCCCCCUCCUCCUGGACAAUGCCCUGCCACUGGGAUCCUGCUGGGCUGAGCGGGACACCUCCGGCCUCUCCAUCCCUCACUGUCUGGCCUGUUUACAGGGUCCAUCCUGUUUACACCAGGGUCCAUCCUGCCCCUUAGCAGGGGG